ensembl:snoRNA SNORA73 Small nucleolar RNA SNORA73 family
CCAACGUGGAUACCCUGGGAGGUCACUCUCCCCAGGCUCUGUCCAAGUGGCGCAGGGGAGCAUAGGGCUCUGCCCCGGGAUGUUGCAGUCCCUUUCCACAACGUUGGGAAUGAAGCUGGGCCUCGUGUCUGCGCCUGCGCUCUGCAGAUAUGUAGUAACAUGGAUUUUUCCGAAAAGCCUGUAACAGCUAGAU